GCCCGCCUAGUUCAAUUGGAUAGAGCAACCUAGUUUGAUGUUCGAACUUUGGCUGCGAGUUCGAAUCUCGCGGUGGGCC